rnacentral:lncRNA from 1 species
CGUUCCAAUCUCUGGAAUUCUUCACACAAAACUGCCAUUCACAUUACAGUGUUUCAUACAAACACAGACUCAUUCUCUCAAGUGAAUUACAAUCAGAUUUCAGCAUUCAAUCUUUCUUCUUCUCAAAUAAUACCAAUCACAUUUCCAUUCCAUAAUUCACUUCACAAUAUUUAGAAACAUUCAAUCCUCAUAUUCAAAGAAAAUAACAAACAAAAGAAAAGAGGUAGCACCAAGCUUAUCCCGGUUCACAACUCUCACAGUCUGGCAUUUUCUUCCCCUCUCCCAUCCUCCUUAUACUACCCUGAGAUACCAACUCCUAUACUACAGAUGAUAACUACUUUUCCUGACUAUUCAUCCAUUCUACCUGCUGAACCACCUUUUCAGCAGUUAUCUAUCCCUGUUUAUACUAUACACUAUGUAUCUAUAUUCUGAAAAUA